GUCGACGGUAACAGGAAAGAGCUUGCUUUUUUGCUGACGAGUGGCGCACGGGUGCGUAACGCGUAUACAAUCUACCUUUUACAGGGGGAUAGCCUUUAGAAAUGAAGAAUAAUACCCCAUAGUAAGUCAUUAUGGCAUCAUAGUGAUUUUAAAGUUUCGGCGGUAAAAGAUGAGUAUGCGUUCUAUUAGCUAGAUGGUGUGGUAACGGCACACCAUGGCAACGAUAGAUAGGGGCCCUGAGAGGGGGAUCCCCCACACUGGUACUGAGACACGGACCAGACUCCUACGGGAGGCAGCAGUGAGGAAUAUUGGACAAUGGGCGAGAGCCUGAUCCAGCCAUGCCGCGUGCAGGAAGACUGCCCUAUGGGUUGUAAACUGCUUUUAUAUAGGAAGAAACCUUUCCACGUGUGGAAAGCUGACGGUACUAUAAGAAUAAGGAUCGGCUAACUCCGUGCCAGCAGCCGCGGUAAUACGGAGGAUCCAAGCGUUAUCCGGAAUCAUUGGGUUUAAAGGGUCCGUAGGUGGAUAAUUAAGUCAGAGGUGAAAUCCUGCAGCUCAACUGUAGAAUUGCCUUUGAUACUGGUUAUCUUGAAUUAUUGUGAA
rnacentral:rRNA from 1 species